rnacentral:misc_RNA from 1 species
AGUGUGGCCUUAUUGAGUUUCUCUUGGUGUUUGUCUAGUUCUCUGAGUGACUUGUUUACCUUUACAGGGAAGCCCUCAGAGUUGUACAGGAACAGGAUGGGGGCCUUCGGUGUAUCAGGAGAGCUGGCCACUCGCCCCGUCUCCAGUCUGUCUGGGGGUCAGAAGAGCAGGGUGGCUUUUCGCUUUGAUUGACAUGCUCAAUCCUAAUUUCCUUAUCCUUGAUGAGCCGACGAACCAUUUGGACAUGGAAACGAUAGAGGCUUUGGGGAAUGCAAUACUGAAAUUCCAGGGAGGGGUGGUGCUGGUCUCCCACGACGAGCGACUAAUCCGAAUGAUAUGUAAGGAGCUAUGGGUGGUCAAGGAUGGGACGGUCAAAUCUCUGGAUGGAGGCUUCGACGAGUACCGCAACAUCGUGGAGAAGGAACUCGCCGAAAACGGCAUUUGAUGACUGCCUCAAGCUAGUCUCUGUAACUUUUUACUGUGCUCUUGUGAAAACUUUUAUAAAAUAUGAACUAUCAAGUGACUGGUGAUUGUGAUUCUGUACUGGUGCAACAGGAGAGUAGUGUAUAUGUAAAUGAUCACAAGCUGAGAGCAGGCUGUGUACGGCCUUGGGCUUUGUAUUGUCUGUGAUAACUUGGACGUGUUCUCUGCAGUGGAAGCAGGCACAUCCUCCCGUGUGUGUUCUAGACAUAUAAAGGCUGGCAAGCACCGAGUCUACAAACUGUUAUUAGAUACAGGUCUUUGUAAAAGAAGUAAUCUAGUGCUUUUAAUUUAUCCAAAGACAAUAAAUUUCUAAAUAAUUAACUUUUUGACAAUACAUGAUACCAUGUUAUUCUCCCUUUAAAGAAUGUCAAAUAUUUUCAACUCGAUGUGAAAACAUUUAGAAAGAAUUCGGUGGUACUUGGAAUCAUGUUGAUUUCUGUGAUGCAUUUGUUAAUGCUGUCAAUAAAUUGCCUGUUAAGUACACAGGACUAGGAACAUGUC